rnacentral:rRNA from 1 species
ACGCUGGCGGCACGCCUAACACAUGCAAGUCGAACGAAGUAGCAAUACUUAGUGGCAGACGGGUGAGUAACAUGUAGGUAUCUGCCCUUUGGCCUGGAAUAACACGAGGAAACUUGUGCUAAUACCGGAUAAGUCUUUACGGAGAAAGCUUUAUGCACCAUUGGAUGAGCCUGCACUUGAUUAGUUUGUUGGUGGGGUAAUGGCCUACCAAGACUUUGAUCAAUAGCUGAUUUGAGAGGAUGAUCAGCCACAUUGGGACUGAGACACGGCCCAAACUCCUACGGGAGGCAGCAGUGGGGAAUCUUGCACAAUGGAGGAAACUCUGAUGCAGCGAUGCCGCGUGAGUGAAGAAGGCCCUUGGGUUGUAAAGCUCUUUCGUCGGGGAAGAAAAUGACUGUACCCGAAUAAGAAGGUCCGGCUAACUUCGUGCCAGCAGCCGCGGUAAUACGAAGGGACCUAGCGUAGUUCGGAAUUACUGGGCUUAAAGAGUUCGUAGGUGGUUGAAAAAGUUGGUGGUGAAAUCCCAGAGCUUAACUCUGGAACUGCCAUCAAAACUUUUCAGCUAGAGUUUGAUAGAGGAAAGCAGAAUUUCUAGUGUAGAGGUGAAAUUCGUAGAUAUUAGAAAGAAUACCAAUUGCGAAGGCAGCUUUCUGGAUCAUUACUGACACUGAGGAACGAAAGCAUGGGUAGCGAAGAGGAUUAGAUACCCUCGUAGUCCAUGCCGUAAACGAUGUGUGUUAGACGUUGGAAAUUUAUUUUCAGUGUCGCAGCGAAAGCGAUAAACACACCGCCUGGGGAGUACGACCGCAAGGUUAAAACUCAAAUGAAUUGACGGGGACCCGCACAAGUAGUGGAGCAUGUGGUUUAAUUCGAAGAUACGCGCAGAACCUUACCAACACUUGACAUGUUCGUCGCGACUCUAAGAGAUUAGAGUUUUCGGUUCGGCCGGACGAAACACAGGUGCUGCAUGGCUGUCGUCAGCUCGUGUCGUGAGAUGUUGGGUUAAGUCCCGCAACGAGCGCAACCCUCACUUUUAGUUGCCAUCAUUAAGUUGGGCACUCUGAAAGAACUGCCAGUGAUAAGCUGGAGGAAGGUGGGGAUGACGUCAAGUCCUCAUGGCCCUUACGUGUUGGGCUACACACGUGCUACAAUGGUAUCUACAACAGGAAGCAAGGCGGCGACGUCAAGCAAAUCCUUAAAAGAUACCUCAGUUCGGAUUGCACUCUGCAACUCGAGUGCAUGAAGCUGGAAUUACUAGUAAUCGUGGAUCAGCGUGCCACGGUGAAUGCGUUCCCCGGGUCUUGUACACACCGCCCGUCA